UACGUAGGUGGCGAGCGUUGUCCGGAUUUACUGGGCGUAAAGGGAGCGUAGGCGGACUCUUAAGUGAGAUGUGAAAUACCCGGGCUCAACUUGGGUGCUGCAUUUCAAACUGGAAGUCUAGAGUGCAGGAGAGGAGAAUGGAAUUCCUAGUGUAGCGGUGAAAUGCGUAGAGAUUAGGAAGAACACCAGUGGCGAAGGCGAUUCUCUGGACUGUAACUGACGCUGAGGCUCGAAAGCGUGGGGAGGCAAACAGGAUUAGAUA
rnacentral:rRNA from 1 species